UGCAGAUGAUGUUAAUAAUAUUUGCUAUCUGAACGUCUGUGCUGACAUUCCCACCAAGAUCACUGAUGCA